GAGGGUAUAGCUCAAGUGGUAGAGCACAUGCUUAGCAUGCACAAGGUCCUGGGUUCAAUCCCCAGCACCUUCU
rnacentral:tRNA from 1 species